ACGGGUUCCGUGGCCUGCAACCUGACCAUUUUACAACCGAGAGUCUGUCGACCACUAAAGAGAGAGGCGUAGGAGGCCACUGGGGUCCCUCGGGGACACCUGUCCAGAGGGCUCCGAGACGGCGCCGGCCACCCUGGAGUCCACGGUCUCUGGACCUGCUCCGGUGCUGCCCUGAUCUGGAGCAAAGCCAUCGGCUGGUCACAGACUCCUCCAGGCUUCCGGAACAUGGCCUCCAAGACGGUACCCUGUGGCUGUGCACCCACAAACCCGAGGACCCCCCCAGAAGCCCCUCAGUCCCCCAUCAAGCGCCCCA
rnacentral:lncRNA from 1 species